rnacentral:rRNA from 1 species
CCUACGGGAGGCAGCAGUGAGGAAUAUUGGUCAAUGGGCGAAAGCCUGAACCAGCAACGUAGCGUGGAGGAUGACGGCCCUAUGGGUUGUAAACUCCUUUUAUACAGGAAUAAAGUGCGGCACGUGUGUCUUUUUGUAUGUAUUGUAUGAAUAAGGAACGGCUAAUUCCGUGCCAGCAGCCGCGGUAAUACGGAGGGUCCGGGCGUUAUCCGGAUUUAUUGGGUUUAAAGGGAGCGUAGGUGGCAUGUUAAGUCUGUUGUGAAAGGUUGUGGCUCAACCGUAGAAUUGCAUUGGAUACUGGCAGGCUUGAGUGCAGUUGAGGUAAGCGGAAUUCGUGGUGUAGCGGUGAAAUGCGUAGAUAUCACGAAGAACUCCGAUUGCGAAGGCAGCCUACUGGACUGCAACUGACGUUGAGGCUCGAAAGCGUGGGUAUCAAACAGGAUUAGAUACCCGAGUAGUC